rnacentral:rRNA from 1 species
UACGGAAGGCAGCAGUGGGGAAUAUUGCACAAUGGGCGAAAGCCUGAUGCAGCUAUGCCGCGUGUAUGAAGAAGGCCUUAGGGUUGUAAAGUACUUUCAUCGGGGAGGAAAAACAAAACUAAUAAUUUUAUUUCUUGACGUUACCCGAAAAAGAAGCACCGGCUAACUCCGUGCCAGCAGCCGCGGUAAUACGGAGGGUGCUAGCGUUAAUCAGAAUUACUGGGCGUAAAGAGCACGUAGGUGGUUUUUUUAAGUCAGAUGUGAAAUCCCUGGGCUUAACCUAGGAACUGCAUUUUGAAACUGAAAUACUAGAGUAUCGUAGAGGGAGGUAGAAUUCUAGGUGUAGCGGUGAAAUGCGUAGAUAUCUGGAGGAAUACCUGUGGCGAAAGCGGCCUCCUAAACGAAUACUGACACUGAGGUGCGAAAGCGUGGGGAGCAAACAGGGAUUGAUA